rnacentral:lncRNA from 12 species
UAAUAUUUCACAAUAUUACUGUUUUUUCUGUAUUUUUGAUCAAAUAAAUGCAGGCUUGAUGAGCAGAAGAAACUUCUUUCAAAAACAUUAAAAAUAGUAAUGUUUGCAAACUUUUGACCUGUACUGUAUUUUAUGGGAACACGCCCCUCUUCUCGCGUCACUGUGUACCGCCCAAACUGUUAGCGGAUGAUUUAAACGUUUGUUGCGGGAUCGCGACCCAUUGUUACAUCACCUGAAGACCGACUCGUCGUAACACCGCUGCCUGUACAUUACCAGCGCUUAAAUGGCUGCCAAACUUACCGUUGACGAGGCUCGAAACGGUGAAGAAAACACUGCUCCUGUGGACGAGGCUCGUCUUCUAACAAAUGGCGAAGAGAAUACAACUCAAGGUCAGCUUGUUACACCAUCAGGUGUCUCUUCAUCAUAUGCAGCUGAUAAAACAGCAGCCCCGGAUAACUUCGUAACGGAGGCAUCGGCACCUUUGAGUGCCAGUAACAGUGGGUCAGAGCCCUGUGACCGAGGUGUAGCAGAAGCCCAGGGUCUUGGGCACAAGACUGACGAUUGUAAAGCAGCCACCCUGAGAUGUGGGGAAAAGCGGGCGAGAGAAUCAGAAGACCCCUCUGAUGCUCCUGUGAAACGGCGUUUGAGAACAUCGGAAGUUCUACCAGACUACGACGCGAGAUGUGCCGAGCUGUGGAUCGAUGGUGAAACGGCUGCUUGUGAGGCUUAUGAGUUCUCAAAGUCCAGCAGCAACACCCAACGCCAACGUGCUAUUCGCCAACACGGCAAUAGUAGUUCUGUCAAGAGCGACAUUUUACGUCUCAUCCGAAUUGAAGUGGCAGCUUGUUAUUUUCCCAUCUCAAAGAUGCUUCGUUUGAGUAUGGAGCGGAGCAGAGCUGAUUUCGCUGAGGUGAUAAGUUCACUUAAUGCAAUGCAAAGGAAUACCAGAGAGUUGGCUAAUGAAGUCCGUAAAAUGCGAGCGGAUGGAAGACUGGUGUUAGACACAAUCUCUCUUAUGAAUGAAAGAAUGAGCGUCAUUCAAAGGUUGGCGUUGGACUUGCAUCGAGUGGUGACUUCUAGGAAAUGAGGGGUCUGUUUAUUUUAGCAUGCUGAUUUGCGUUCAAGCCUACUUUUGCUACCCAGCUUUUCCUUUUUUGAUAUACUUGUAUUGACGAGUGUUUUUUUUUAUUAUUAUUUCUUGUUUAUUGUAUCACUUUCCUGUGUUGUUUUAGUAGGUUUUAAAUAAACAGUUUCAAAAUGGCCCCUUUAUUCCUGAACUUGGGUUGUACUGAAAUUUCUAAAACUUAAAACAUAAAUGGUGCAUUAAAUAUAGGCUAGUAAACCUAAAUGGUCACACAUUUGACCAUAAUUAUUAGUAAAAUAUAACUAAGCUUUGGCGAUCGCCGCUCCAGUCA